rnacentral:rRNA from 1 species
UUCGCAAUGCCCGAAAGGGUGACGAAGCGACGCCGCGUGUGGGAAGAAGGCCUUCGGGUUGUAAACCACUGUCAGGAGUUAAGAAAUGCAAGGGUGUUAACAGCAUCCUUGCUUGACUAAGGCUCCGGAGGAAGCCACGGCUAACUCUGUGCCAGCAGCCGCGGUAAUACAGAGGCGGCAAGCGUUGUUCGGAAUUAUUGGGCGUAAAGAGCACGUAGGCGGCUGUGUAAGUCGGUCGUGAAAGCCUUCCGCUCAACGGGAGAACGGCAUCCGAUACUGCAUGGCUUGAGUGCGGGAGGGGAGAGUGGAACUUCUGGUGGAGCGGUGAAAUGCGUAGAUAUCAGAAGGAACGCCGGCGGCGAAAGCGGCUCUCUGGCCCAUAACUGACGCUGAGUGUGCGAAAGCUAGGGGAGCAAACGGGAUUAGAUACCCCGGUAGUCCUAGCCGUAAACGAUGGGCACUAAGUAGAGGGGUUUU